AACGAACGCUGGCGGCGUGCCUAACACAUGCAAGUCGAGCGAGAAAGUCCGCAAGGAUGAGUAAAGCGGCGAACGGGUGAGUAACACGUAGGUAAUCUACCUUACAGUUCGGGACAACCCCGCGACAGCGGAGCUAAUACCGGAUAAGACCACAACUCUUUCGGGAGCAGUGGUAAAAGAUGGCCACUUCAUGAAAGCUAUCACUGAAAGAUGAGCCUGCGCACCAUUAGCGAGUGGGUAGGGUAAUGGCCUACCAAGGCUACGAUGGUUAGCUGAUCUGAGAGGAUGAUCAGCCACACUGGAACUGAAACACGGUCCAGACUCCUACGGGAGGCAGCAGUGGGGAAUAUUGCGCAAUGGGGGAAACCCUGACGCAGCAACGCCGCGUGAGUGGCGAAGGCCCUCGGGUCGUAAAGCUCUGUCGGAGGGAAAGAAACUAUUCAUGGCUAAUAUCCAUGGAUAUUGACGGUACCCUCAAAGGAAGCACCGGCUAACUCCGUGCCAGCAGCCGCCGUAACAC
rnacentral:rRNA from 1 species